UAUAUUUAUAUGUUUGUAUGUGUGUGUGUCUGUCUCUGUGUGUGCUGUGUGUGUAUAUAUAUACACACGCGUGUUUCUACUAACACUUUGAACAAGUGUAGAGGGAGAAAAUAAUUUCUUAGUUGUCUUUCUACGUCUUCGUGUGCGAAAGGAUUCUCUCUACUUGACUUAUGGAUAUUUGUUUUUUUUAUGUGUUAUCGAAGAUAAAAAGAAACCAAAAAAAAAAAAAAAAAAAAAAAAA